rnacentral:tRNA from 1 species
AAAGAGGCCCGAAGCAGCAAGGACUGCUAAUCCUUGCCCCCACGG